UAUUGGGCGUAAGGGAGCGCAGGCGGUUGGAAUAGUCUGAUGUGAAAGCCCACGGCUUAACCGUGGAAGGUCAUUGGAAACUGUCCAACUUGAAUGCAGAAGAGGUAAGUGGAAUUCCAUGUGUAGCGGUGAAAUGCGUAGAUAUAUGGAGGAACACCAGUGGCGAAGGCGACUUACUGGUCUGUGAUUGACGCUGAGGCUCGAAAGCGUGGGUAGCGAACAGGAUUAGAUACCCUGGUAGUCCACGCCGUAAACGAUGAGUGCUAAGUGUUGGAGGGUUUCCGCCCUUCAGUGCUGGAGUUAACGCAUUAAGCACUCCGCCUGGGGAGUACGGUCGCAAGGCUAAAACUCAAAGGAAUUGACGGGGGCCCGCACAAGCGGUGGAGCAUGUGGUUUAAUUCGACGCAACGCGAAGAACCUUACCAGCUCUUGACAUCUUCUGUUCACUCUAGAGAUAGAGCUUCCCCUUUGGGGUUGGUGUACAGGUGGUGCAUGGUUGUCGUCAGCUCGUGUCGUGAGAUGUUGGGUUAAGUCCCGCAACGAGCGCAACCCUCGUUCUAUGUUGCCAGCACGUGAUGGUGGGAACUCAUAGGAGACUGCCGGGGUCAACUCGGAGGAAGGUGGGGAUGACGUCAAAUCAUCAUGCCCCUUAUGAGCUGGGCUACACACGUGCUAUAAUGGACGGUACAACGGGUAGCGAGGGCGCGAGCCUUAGCAAAUCCUAAUAAGCCGUUCUCAGUUCGGAUUGUUCUCUGCAACUCGAGAGCAUGAAGCCGGAAUCGCUAGUAAUCGCGGAUCAGAAUGCCGCGGUGAAUACGUUCCCGGGUCUUGUACACACCGCCCGUCACACCACGAGAGUUCGUAACACCCGAAGC
rnacentral:rRNA from 1 species